ensembl:snoRNA Gm25973 predicted gene, 25973
GGCUUCCUCAUGCUUAACAACAGGUUGUAUUCUGUCUGUCAGAAAAUGGAGGCAGAGUAAACCUACCCCAUGUACAUCUCAGCCCAGGCUACGGUACCAGGUAUGUCACGUGAAAGGGGUGUGGGGA